AGAGUUUGAUCAUGGCUCAGGAUGAACGCUAGCUACAGGCUUAACACAUGCAAGUCGAGGGGCAGCAUUGGAGUAGCAAUACUCAGAUGGCGACCGGCGCACGGGUGAGUAACACGUAUCCAACCUGCCGCUUACUCGGGGAUAGCCUUUCGAAAGAAAGAUUAAUACCCGAUGGUAUAAAGAGUUCGCAUGUUCUCUUUAUUAAAGAAUUUCGGUAAGCGAUGGGGAUGCGUUCCAUUAGAUUGUUGGCGGGGUAACGGCCCACCAAGUCUACGAUGGAUAGGGGUUCUGAGAGGAAGGUCCCCCCACAUUGGAACUGAGACACGGUCCAAACUCCUACGGGAGGCAGCAGUGAGGAAUAUUGGUCAAUGGACGAGAGUCUGAACCAGCCAAGUAGCGUGAAGGAUGACUGCCCUAUGGGUUGUAAACUUCUUUUAUAAGGGAAUAAAGUGAGGGACGUGUCCCUUUUUGUAUGUACCUUAUGAAUAAGGAUCGGCUAACUCCGUGCCAGCAGCUGC
rnacentral:rRNA from 1 species